AGAGUUUGAUCAUGGCUCAGAUUGAACGCUGGCGGCAGGCUUAACACAUGCAAGUCGAGCGGAAACGAUGAUAGCCUGCUAUCAGGCGUCGAGCGGCGGACGGGUGAGUAAUACUUAGGAAUCUACCUAGUAGUGGGGGAUAGCUCGGGGAAACUCGAAUUAAUACCGCAUACGUCCUACGGGAGAAAGCAGGGGAUCAUUAGACCUUGCGCUAUUAGAUGAGCCUAAGUCGGAUUAGCUAGAUGGUGGGGUAAAGGCCUACCAUGGCAACGAUCUGUAGCUGGUCUGAGAGGAUGAUCAGCCACACCGGGACUGAGACACGGCCCGGACUCCUACGGGAGGCAGCAGUGGGGAAUAUUGGACAAUGGGGGGAACCCUGAUCCAGCCAUGCCGCGUGUGUGAAGAAGGCCUUUUGGUUGUAAAGCACUUUAAGCAGUGAAGAAGACUCUUCGGUUAAUACCCGGGGACGAUGACAUUAGCUGCAGAAUAAGCACCGGCUAACUCUGUGCCAGCAGCCGCGGUAAUACAGAGGGUGCAAGCGUUAAUCGGAAUUACUGGGCGUAAAGCGAGCGUAGGUGGCUUGAUAAGUCAGAUGUGAAAUCCCCGGGCUUAACCUGGGAACUGCAUCUGAUACUGUUAGGCUAGAAUAGGUGAGAGGAAGGUAGAAUUCCAGGUGUAGCGGUGAAAUGCGUAGAGAUCUGGAGGAAUACCGAUGGCGAAGGCAGCCUUCUGGCAUCAUAUUGACACUGAGGUUCGAAAGCGUGGGUAGCAAACAGGAUUAGAUACCCUGGUAGUCCACGCCGUAAACGAUGUCUACUAGUCGUUGGGUCCCUUGAGGACUUAGUGACGCAGCUAACGCAAUAAGUAGACCGCCUGGGGAGUACGGCCGCAAGGUUAAAACUCAAAUGAAUUGACGGGGGCCCGCACAAGCGGUGGAGCAUGUGGUUUAAUU
rnacentral:rRNA from 1 species